AAGUCGUAACAAGGUUUCCGUAGGUGAACCUGCGGAAGGAUCAUUAUUGAAUUUAAAACCGAGUAGGGUUGUUGCUGGCCUCUGGCAUGUGCACACCUUAUUCGUGUCCACCUUCACAUCUCUGUGCACUUCUCAUGGGUUGGGUUGCGUCUGAAAUAUUGACAAAACCUAGCCUGUGUGUAUACACCACAUACUAUUGUUUGUAUCAGAAUGUUAUCACUGUGCAUGAAUGCAUAUAAAUACAACUUUCAGCAACGGAUCUCUUGGCUCUC
rnacentral:misc_RNA from 1 species